GACUUGGUAACGCAGCUAACGCGUGAAGUAGACCGCCUGGGGAGUACGGUCGCAAGAUUAAAACUCAAAGGAAUUGACGGGGACCCGCACAAGCGGUGGAUGAUGUGGAUUAAUUCGAUGCAACGCGAAAAACCUUACCUACCCUUGACAUGGCUGGAAUCCCUGAGAGAUCGGGGAGUGCUCGAAAGAGAACCAGUACACAGGUGCUGCAUGGCUGUCGUCAGCUCGUGUCGUGAGAUGUUGGGUUAAGUCCCGCAACGAGCGCAACCCUUGUCAUUAGUUGCUACGAAAGGGCACUCUAAUGAGACUGCCGGUGACAAACCGGAGGAAGGUGGGGAUGACGUCAAGUCCUCAUGGCCCUUAUGGGUAGGGCUUCACACGUCAUACAAUGGUACAUACAGAGGGCCGCCAACCCGCGAGGGGGAGCUAAUCCCAGAAAGUGUAUCGUAGUCCGGAUUGUAGUCUGCAACUCGACUACAUGAAGUUGGAAUCGCUAGUAAUCGCGGAUCAGCAUGUCGCGGUGAAUACGUUCCCGGGUCUUGUACACACCGCCCGUCACACCAUGGGAGCGGGUUUUACCAGAAGUAGGUAGCUUAACCGCAAGGAGGGCGCUUACCACGGUAGGAUUCGUGACUCGGGGUG
rnacentral:rRNA from 1 species